rnacentral:lncRNA from 1 species
UAUUAUUCUUAAUCCCUGCAUUUGAAUAACAAACCACCAUUCAAAUUCACUUCAGUAGAGUUGGGACAGAAGCCACGUUCCGUCAUUUUACCCUUCUUUGGUUGCCGUCGGCUGGUGGAGUUGGGACCGAGGCCAUGUUCCUUUGUAUUACGAUUUUUUUAGCUAUCUGCUUGUGAAUUUUCAAAUGGGUUCUGAUCUGUGUAUUUUGGUUGUCUUGUCUGUUAAAAAAGGGAACUGAAUUAGC